GCUGGGCAUGGUGGCACAAGCCUGUAGUCCCAGCUACUUGGGAGGCUGAGGCGGGAGGAUCACUUGUACCCAGGAUUUCAAGGCUGUAGUGAGCCGUGAUCGUGCCACUGUACUCCAGCCUGGGCAACAGAGUGAGACCCUGUCUCAA
rnacentral:SRP_RNA from 1 species